AUGAUGCUGGAGCGCUUCGUGUUCCGCAGGGACGACGACGACGACGAGGACGGCAGCGGCUCCUCCGUCUUCCCGGACGAAGCGGCCGCGCCGUUGAGGGCCAACUCCGUCACCUCCCUCGGAGACCCCUUCGCCGUCGCCUUGCUCCCCGCCGGCCCUCCCACCUUCUCCCGCCUCUACGUGCAGUGGCCGCGCGGUCCACGCAGCUUCGACGGCUCGGAUACGGGGACCGAACUCUUGUCCGCCCACCGGGACCUCCUCCUGCUCAGCCUCGCCUCCGAGCUGAGCCUCGACGACAGUGACCCUUACCGGCAGGACUACUUCGUGUUCCAUGCCGCUCUAGGGGCUGGUGAAUCGCGGCUCACACGGCUCCCGGCGUGCACCAUACCGAUUGUGCUGAAACUGUGGGGCGACGAUACAACAAUGGAUCGCUGGUUCAACCGUGACACCAUCGGAAUACAUUGCGGCAGGGAUCACUUCACCGUGCUGCAGCUGGCCAAGUUCUGUGUUUCAGCAAGGAACAGUGUUAUGGGAGCCGAACUAUGCGUCUUCCGCUCCCCUCUGUCGACCGAUGGCUCCGAUGAUAACGUUGCCGAGGGGAAGUGGGAGAUUCUGACGCUGCCGAUCCAGCAUACAGAGGAGGAGUUCACCGACCUGACCUGCUGGUCGACCGAUGCCACCAUCAUAUCCAACGUCUGCGUGAUCUGGGUUGAUUACCACCAAGGAGGUAUCCUGUCGUACAAGCCAUGUCAUGACGAUGCACUAGAAACAAGACCACGUAGAAUCAUACAUUACAGCUGA
rnacentral:rRNA from 1 species